rnacentral:rRNA from 1 species
AGAGUUUGAUCCUGGCUCAGGAUGAACGCUAGCGACAGGCUUAACACAUGCAAGUCGAGGGGCAGCGAGGGAGUGGCAACACUUCUGUCGGCGACCGGCGCACGGGUGAGUAACGCGUAUGCAACCUGCCCUUCACAGGGGGAUAACCGGGAGAAAUUCCGACUAAUACCGCAUACGUCCUUUGGGGGCAUCCCCUGGGGAUGAAAGAGUUAUCGGUGAAGGAUGGGCAUGCGUGAUAUUAGGUAGUUGGCGGGGCAACGGCCCACCAAGCCCACGAUAUCUAGGGGUUCUGAGAGGAAGGUCCCCCACAUUGGUACUGAGACACGGACCAAACUCCUACGGGAGGCAGCAGUGAGGAAUAUUGGUCAAUGGACGAGAGUCUGAACCAGCCAAGUAGCGUGAAGGAUGAAGGUCCUACGGAUUGUAAACUUCUUUUAUAAGGGAAUAAACCCUCCCACGUGUGGGAGCUUGUAUGUACCUUAUGAAUAAGCAUCGGCUAACUCCGUGCCAGCAGCCGCGGUAAUACGGAGGAUGCGAGCGUUAUCCGGAUUUAUUGGGUUUAAAGGGAGCGCAGGCUGCGAGGCAAGUCAGCGGUCAAAUGUCGGGGCUCAACCCCGGCCUGCCGUUGAAACUGUCCUGCUAGAGUUCGAGUGAGGUAUGCGGAAUGCGUUGUGUAGCGGUGAAAUGCAUAGAUAUGACGCAGAACUCCGAUUGCGAAGGCAGCAUACCAACUCGCGACUGACGCUGAGGCUCGAAAGCGUGGGUAUCGAACAGGAUUAGAUACCCUGGUAGUCCACGCAGUAAACGAUGAAUACUAACUGUUCGGAGGGCGACCUCUGAGUGGUAAAGCGAAAGCGUUAAGUAUUCCACCUGGGGAGUACGCCGGCAACGGUGAAACU